rnacentral:rRNA from 1 species
AGUGAACGCUGGCGGUAGGCCUAACACAUGCAAGUCGAACGGCAGCACAGGAGAGCUUGCUCUCUGGGUGGCGAGUGGCGGACGGGUGAGGAAUACAUCGGAAUCUACUCUGUCGUGGGGGAUAACGUAGGGAAACUUACGCUAAUACCGCAUACGACCUACGGGUGAAAGCAGGGGAUCUUCGGACCUUGCGCGAUUGAAUGAGCCGAUGUCGGAUCAGCUGGUUGGCGGGGUAAAGGCCCACCAAGGCGACGAUCCGUAGCUGGUCUGAGAGGAUGAUCAGCCACACUGGAACUGAGACACGGUCCAGACUCCUACGGGAGGCAGCAGUGGGGAAUAUUGGACAAUGGGCGCAAGCCUGAUCCAGCCAUACCGCGUGGGUGAAGAAGGCCUUCGGGUUGUAAAGCCCUUUUGUUGGGAAAGAAAUCCAGCUGGCUAAUACCCGGUUGGGAUGACGGUACCCAAAGAAUAAGCACCGGCUAACUUCGUGCCAGCCGCCGCCGUAA